rnacentral:tRNA from 1 species
GAGGCGGAUGGGAUUAUAGCGGGAUUUCUAAUUUUGUUUUAAGCGGUUCGACUCCGUUUCUGCUUUU